rnacentral:lncRNA from 1 species
CCCAGCCUAGGGGUCGAAUUGGAGCUGUAGCCACUGGCCUACGCCGGAGCCACAGCAACUCGGGAUCCAAGCCGUGUCUGUGACCUACACCACAGCUCAGGCAACGCCAGAUCCUUAACCCACUGAGCAAGGCCAGGGACCGAACCCGCAACCUCAUGGUUCCUAGUCGGAUUCGUUAACCACUGCGCCACAACAGGAACUCCGUAAAUAAAGUUUUAUUGGAACACAGCUUAUUUAUUGGAAACAAAUAUGCUCAUUUGUUUACAUAUCAUCUAUGGCUGCUUUCACACUGUGCCAGAACUGAGUAAUUGCGAAAGAAACCAUAUGGCUGGCAAACUAAAAAUGUUUACUAUUUGGCCUUUUAUAGAAAAAGUUUGCUGGCCUCUGCUCUAGAUAAAAGAUAUGGAUAAAAGAAAACAAUGGCAAAUUUGGUCUGAGGAGUUAUUCCAAACAUAGCCUCACAGUGUGGGCACAUGAGGCUGGUACUACAUAUAGCUAAGCCUGAGGGUACAGCUCAGAGUUUGUGCUCUCGGGUGCCAUGUGAAAGGCACACAGUUGGGGUUUAAUAAGUGCCUAUUGUUUGCUGCUGAGCAUGGGUUGAUGAUGAAAACAGGGUGACAUCCCUGGCCUCCCUUCUCUCCGCUUGGCAUGGCUCUUGGAAUUUUUCCUGGGCGGAAAACUUCCUUUUCACACCACUGGUGUAUAGAGAAAAGCAGCUCUAUUAUUUAAAUUCUCCAAGAUCAAGGAUGUAAAAUGAAGGCUGUUCCUGGCCCCACAAGACAUCCAAAUAAAUCUCACGGCUUCCAAAUGUGACUGUGUCACCCUGGGAUUAAUACCAAGUAAUCCAGUGCCAACAUCAAGACAGUGAAAAUAAGCAUUUACUCUCCCGGAAAAUCAUUUUAUACUGAUUACAAGUUGUAGCCUGUCACUAGGAUGUGAAUUGAAAAUGUGCACAUUUGCAAGGUUAAUAUUUCUCUCCAGAGUCACUCUCUCCUCUGCCUACCCCCCAGGCCCCAGCUCAAAAGGAAACAGGAAUUCCAAAUAAAUAUUUGUCCUGAGACAUCCUUAUUCCAAGGCACAAAGUUUAAGCCAGAUUUUCAUUUACCUAUAAGACUUCUGCACAAUAUGAAAGCAAGCAGCACUAGUCUAGCAUCAAUGGUCUAGCAGCUAUAGGCUCGCCGCAAUGAUCCAGCAGCUGCAGGCUAGCACCAAUGGUCCAGCAGCAAUGAUCCAGCAGCUCAGCAAUGGUCCAGCAGCAAUGGUCCAGAGCAGCAUUUUCUAGCAAUCUGACAUUUGAGGCUAGAUAAUUCUUUAACUCAGGGGCCUGUCCUGUGCACCCCUCUCUCAAUUGUGACAACUACAGUAUCUCUUGACAUUGUCCAGUGUUCCACGGGAGUCGACUCACUCCUAGUUGAAAACCACAAGUCGAGAGAUUUUGGAAAAAGGUGGAUAGAUAAUGUCCAAGUGGCAGAGCAUGGCUAUCUGUUUACUUUCCUAGCUCCAUCUCUGUCACUACUUUGCCUCCAGCCUUUCAACUCAAAGCAUGCAAGUUCUGUCACCUUCUGACAUUUGCUUGUCCUGGCCAUUCUGCCUGGACGUCUCUCUCCUAAUUUAUCUAUUAUGGAAAGUCACUUCCUUCACGAAGUCUUCCAUGACUACCCCUGCUCCAGGCCCAGGACACAAUUUCCUCCGGGCUCUCACGGCUCUUUUGACAGGCAGUGGAGCCAUUAUCAUGUAGGAGUUGGUCUCUAAGGGAGAAUUCAAAGGAAAAACUGCAUAGAACAAAAUUACCCUUGGGAAAUUCCUUAAAUCCAACUUAAGUAUAGUAUGAAUGGUUUUUGUAGAGUCAACUCUGUUUAGUCAUUUUUAUGCCCGGUCUGCUCAAUACCUCUUAUGUUUAAGAAGUAUUGAGUUACACUAAAGGAAGGAAUACUACGGAAUUCUAUAUGCAGAUGUCUGGACCUUCAGACAUUUGUACGUUUAGAAAAUCUCUGAUAACGAAGGAGGAACAGUCAGUUCCUGCUUUGCCUGCAGGGUUUACUUCAUUUUGUUUUAAUAGCGAACCUCUGUAGUUUUAAUAUCAGUGAAUAACUGGCCAUUGGAAGAAUUAAACUAGAAAACAUAAGUGAAAUUUCCUGAACGUAGAAUCUGGUGCAUGUUAGCUGCACAGCAAGGCUUUCUGAACUGAAAUCUAAAUCUAACUGUUCUUUUUUUCCUUUGGGUUGGGUUGCACUCUAAUUGACAUACGUACCACAUAAGUUUAAGCAUGAUUUGACUUACAUACGUCAUGAAAUAAUUACCCCAAUAAGUUUAGUGAACAUCCAUCAUCUCAGAUACAAAAUAAAAGAAAAAAAUUUUUUUCUACCCUGUUUUUUGAAAGUUAUAGAGAAGAGCUUGCUUCCUGUAUUUCUAAACCCACGUUUUUUCUUAUGACUACAAUUGUCCGACUCUUGACCCAUUUUGCUCAUGACCCUCUAAGUGCCCGUGUUGUCACGACAGAUGUGUUGGUUUGCGCUGUUUUGGUGUGUGUUUCCCACUGGACAAUGAGUUACUUGGGGACAGGGGUCCUCCCUCGUUUAUUUUUAUCUCCUGAAAGCUGCCACAGAGCAAUCGCCCAAUAAUUUGCAUGUCAAGGGAAAGCAUAAGAAAUGUGAGCUUGAAUUAACAUCUCCUGCAUCUCCUACUUCCAAUUUAAAAAUUCUUCCCUCCUGAACGGACACAGUGUAAGAUACUGCACCUUACGGGGUCUGUGUAAUAUAUUAAAAGUAUGUUAACUUAUUCUUCAACACAUAGGAGAUGCCCAGAUGUUGAGGCUUUAAAACUUCUAGAAGGAGGGGCAAGACGGCAACAGUGAAACUGCUCAAGGGAUUGGUAUGAAGGGAGUUUGCUCAGCUCGUUUGGUAGAGACGGGUAAACCUGACCACACUCUUAAGGACCUUUUCAGGUACCCUUAGCUUUUCACGAUCACCUUUGCCAAAUCCACCAGCAGGUAGGCAAGCGGCAAUAAUGAAGCCCAAGUGUCAGGAUGGUUUCUUUCCCCCAAAGGGGAAUUGAGAACAAGAGGUCUGGACAUCCCCCGACCCUGAUUUGAUCGACCCCCCCGACAGCUUUUGCCUAAAGGGCAAACUGACCGCGGCGUAUUCCAUGACUCCUGUUCUGACCUAACAGGUAUCUGAAUCUGUACGUUAAGGAUGUCCAAGGAGGGAAAAGCCCCAAAGUACAAACUGCCUCUGAAAUAUCCCCGCACAGCAUCAAGGGAGAAGACAGCGGGUCUGUCUUCACAUGAUCCUGAAGCCAGGACCCAGAUGGUCAACAAGAGGGCAGGCGGGAGCAACUGGCAACUGGCCUGGCCAGUUCUUCUGGGGAGGCGCUGCCCCUUAAGACAGCUGUUUUCUGCAUUUCCUACAGCAGACGCAUGGGUGUGGGUAACAGAAAGCAGAGGUCCUGUGGAGCUAGAUAUGCUCGCAAUUUGCAUUGGAACCUUAAUGAAAAUUCAAGCAAACGGAUCGCUCCCCA